CCUAGCAACACCCAAAACCCUCAUUCUACCCUACUUCUUCUUUCCUUUGAGUCGGUGUGCCGCCUCCAACAAAACAGAGUUCACAAGACAAACCCUCGAACCGAACGUUUUUCAGGGUUGAUAGAACACGAUGGUUCAGUACAAUCUUAAGAAGAUUACCGUUGUGCCAAAUGGGAAGGACGUGGUCGACAUCAUCCUCUCUCGCACCCAGCGUCAAACACCAACCGUUGUGCACAAAUGGUUCAGUACAAUAUCUUAAAAUUUAUAUUGACCUUAUGUUUUUGCCAUUGGUUAACCAUUGGAGUCUUGAUUCUUGACAUGGCUAUUAUCCUUCCUCCCCCCUGUGCGAUUUUAAUCUGCUUAUUUGGGCUUAUGUUCUGAGUUAUUGAUCAUGAAUUAGUGUUUUUGAUAUUUUUUUUUUAUUAUGAUGCAAAUGAAGUAGGAAUUAACACGGGUUUCCUGCCUACCUUUUGUACCAGAUAUUUUUUUUCUCUUAUCUGGUGUUUAUUUCUUUUACAAUUUUUUUUGCAGUAUUUUUACUAUCAGAAAAAGAUGAAAUUGCCACUUCUUGGUUGCACCAUGUCUAAUCAGAUGAAUAGCACCAUGAGGAGAUCUUUGCUCAAUCCACUAGAGCUUAUGAAAAAUAAUUUUUUUUUAUUUUAGUGGCAAUGAUUCUUCCAAAAAUCCGCUUUCGAAUGAUUUUAUCCGAUUUAAACCCUUUUGGAAAAUUAUACCAAGAAAAGUAAACAGAGUUUGGGUACAACGGAAGAUUUGGUUCUGCUGGAUUAAAAUCUUCAUAGAAUUGUGAACCAGGCUCUGGUGGCAACAUCAUCAAUUAGUAGCUAGUAUUUCUCCCUCUAAGGGAAUUUAUAUUUUAUGUAUUGGAAUAAUUUGUUCUCGUUUUCUUCUGUUCCAGACAAUCAGAUUUAGUUCUGGACAGUGGAAUUCACAAUCUACCUUACCUACAAAUCAAUCCUUGAUUUGGUACAAGAUAAUCUUUAGUAAAAUAUAGCAUCUAUUGAAAUUCUUGAAUUCUUUCAUUAUUAUAACUGCAUAAGGGAACAUAAUGUCUCUUUGCACUUAUUUGGUUCCCUUUGUUGGUUUAUGGAGUGUUCCAUUUCCUGUUUACUCAACUGUGUAUGCAUUUGAUAUACUCACAAUCACAUACUACAAAGAAAAUUAAGGGAAUGCUAUUAUGGGAAAAAUGAUUUUGCUGUAAACUGAUGGUAAUACAUGAUGUAUUAGACAAACUUUGUUGCUCCCUCGGGAAGUAAUCCACUUGCAAUUGACUUCACGGGGAUGGGAAAAUGACAAACUUUCUUGCAACUUUUGCCCUUUUUUUUCUUUUGAAUUUUUUCUAACCAUCGUGAAUUAUUAUUUGUUUCAUAAAUCUCAGAUAAUUUGAUUUCUUGCAUACUUGAUGCUUUUGCACUCUAUGAAGGGAUUAUACUAUUUUAUCUUUUUCUUAAGCUUUGGUUGGUGCGUGAUGGGAUCAGUGACAAAGUGGGGAGAAGACUGAAAAUAAACCAAUAGAUCACAUAAAGAAAGGAUGUUAAGUGUCAGGGCUGCUUCAACAUGCAGAAGAAGCAUCAUCCAGGCAAAUUGCAUUUGGGUUAACAUAGAAUGAGGUAAAAGAAUGACAAGAUGCAUGGGAAGAAAGGGAUAAGGAUUUUGAGAAGCAAGGAAUUAAUAAGCAAGAUUCAUUUUGGAGCAAGCUAAAGUCGAAGGCUGCUAGAAAGAUAGAUCUUCAUGCUUUAUGUACAAGGAGAAGUCUUCAUUAAACACCCUGAACACGGUAGCAUCCCACAUAACCUGCAAUGGCUUCAGAAAAAGCUGUGGGAUGGUCAAUGUCAUCAGAUAUAGGGGAUCAUCGACCUCAUGAUUCGGCCUAUCUGUAGGUUUUACUGGUCCCACGGCUCCUUGUUUAUCCAACAUAGUUAAUUAAAAUAAUUUAAUUAUAGUGAACAAUUUAAUUGAAAAAAGAAGCAUUUAAUGACACUGAAAUACUUGUUAUGAUAAACGCUUGACGAGAUGUGUCGGCCAAGCAAUGAAGGUGUUAAGUGUCUGCCCCACUAACUUAACCUCUUCAGUGGGUACAGGAAUGGGAGCAUCUACAUCUUUAACCUCCUCAACAGCAACCUUCACUUGAUCAUGCAACAAAGGGAUGUUGUGAACGGUUGUGGAUCCCUCAUAAACUCUUCCUAGGGCAACUAGGCGGGGAUGAUUUUCUUCGAUGUACAACCUGAAUUUGUUUAAGUCACCCAUGUCUGGAUCAUUCCUUGAGGGAUCAACACAACUCUCCUUUGUGCUAACACGAGAGGCAGUGUAAGUCCCUAUGAUUGCAUCUGUGACUGAAACUGGGACUGCAUCUAGCUGAAGCAUAACAUUAGCUGCCGAGUCACUUUUUCUGUGAUCGACUCCUCCACCUGGUCCUUGAUUUGUUGAGUUAGCUGUUCUAGGUCUUCGGGAGCCAUGGAGGAAGACGUGCGGGAGGUCCUUGGAGCCGGUCCAAAGUAUUGCUUGAUCAUCACACCAGCUCCAGUAGCACGCAAAUGACCGGGGUGUUCUGGUCGCCCAAUGGCAGCAGUCAGUACAUCCUGACGUCCAUGAGCAACAAAGGAACCCUAUGACGCUUCCUCCUCCAACGAAUCUUGUAUAGAACACAUUUAUUGGUUUACUCAAUCACACAAUAAACAUAAAUAAUUACAAUUAUUAAUUGAAAGUGACUUACAAUCUUGUUAGCAAUUUGCUUUGUUGCCUUAGACGUCAUCUGGCCAGUUUUCUUCGUGCGGGCCAUCUUCCAUUUGACGUGUCGUCUGAUGGGAGAAAGAGGAUCAAUCAGGGUGUCAGUGCUUCCGGAUUGAGCAGCUUCCUCCAGUUUUUUCUUUGUCUUCUCAUCCAUCAGCUUCUUUUGUAAAUAUUCAUAACCCCGAUGAGACAACACAUGGGGGGCAGUGUUUUGCUUCUGGAUGGCUUGUGUUUUUUUCCGCACAUCCUGCAAAAAUUCAACAUUAAUGAAACUCAUCAUUACAAUGUGUUAUAAUAAGAGAAUUUAAAGUUGAAAACAAUGAAAAUCACAAAUUAGAUACCUCCUACAAAGGGUCAUUGCGGAUCUGACAAAAUUGGGCCCAUAUCUCCUUGCUAAUGCCGUACUUUUGGCAUACAGUGUCGUUGACACUUUCCUUGACGGCUGCAAGUGCCUAUUUUGAUGUCAAAUCAGACUUGAAUUGUCUCCACCGCUCCCCCACAAUCUGAAGUAUUUUCUUUUUUGUCCUCUGAUCAGAUGCUUAAGGGAUAUCAAAUUCAGUCUGACAAACAAAAAAUUACAUUGUAUUGUUACUAAAUUACAAUUUUAUUAUCAAUGAAUAAAAUCAAAGAUUUAACUAAAAUACCUGAAUAUCCUCCCAUAUCAAAUCUUUCUGAGCAGCAGGGACUUGCUUCCAAUUCUCGUAUGUGACAUCGACCUUAUCACGAGCGGCGAUCCCUAAAUAUGUUCUUAACUUCUUAUUGUGGGGAUUGCCGACCUUCCCGGUCGCAGGAUCGACAUGGACCAGUGAUCUCUCUGCCCCAAUUGGUCUAGUCGCCAAUGAUUUUAGCCGUGUGACGUUUCUUGUGCGCUUCAAGGUAGAUGGCAACUGUGAUGCUACACCAGUAGGAGGAAGAGGAGGAGGAGAGCUGGGUGGUGUAGCCAUUUGCCUGUAAAGAAAAAAACAUUAGUUAAUUAACAUUAUGAAAAAACUGAAUAAGUUAUGUAAAUGAAUGGACUGAAAUGAAAUACAUAAGAAAAUUACAUUAGACGAUGUUAAUUAAUUCUCCUUCAUCAUGAUCAUUACCAUUAGCAUGAAUGUCGUUAGCUUCUUCUUCUCCGAUGACGUUAGGCGAAAUUUGUGUUGACAAAGGACUAACAUAAGUAUCAAUGUAUGAAUCAUCAUCUUCAACAUUAACACCAAUUGUUUUCCCCUGUAGAACCACUGACCACCUUUCAUCACAAGGGUUUUGAACAUAAAAUACCUGUUUAGCUUGUUUUGCCAUCAUGAAAAGGUCAUUCUGGUAAGCGAGUUUCUUUAGAUCUACCAACAUAAAUCCUACAUGAUCGGUCAACACAUCGGUGUUGCUGUCAACCCAUUUACAUUUGAAAACACAGGAAGGAAUUGUCAUCAUGUACACUGGCGAAGUGUUGAGAUUCAGCCUUUAGGGUGACCCCACUG